UACGAAGGGGGCUAGCGUUGUUCGGAAUUACUGGGCGUAAAGCGCGCGCAGGCGGUCUUCCAAGUCAGUGGUGAAAGCCCGGAGCUCAACUCCGGAACUGCCAUUGAAACUGUUAGACUUGAGGAUGAGAGAGGUGAGUGGAAUUCCCAGUGCAGAGGUGAAAUUCGUAGAUAUUGGGAAGAACACCAGUGGCGAAGGCGGCUCACUGGCCCGGUACUGACGCUGAGGUGCGAAAGCGUGGGGAGCAAACAGG
rnacentral:rRNA from 1 species